rnacentral:rRNA from 1 species
AGUGGGGAAUAUUGCGUNNUGGGGGGAACCCUGACGCAGCCAUGCCGCGUGAAUGAAGAAGGCCUUCGGGUUGUAAAGUUCUUUCGGUAUUGAGGAAGGUUGAUGUGUUAAUAGCACAUCAAAUUGACGUUAAAUACAGAAGAAGCACCGGCUAACUCCGUGCCAGCAGCCGCGGUAAUACGGAGGGUGCGAGCGUUAAUCGGAAUAACUGGGCGUAAAGGGCACGCAGGCGGUUAUUUAAGUGAGGUGUGAAAGCCCCGGGCUUAACCUGGGAAUUGCAUUUCAGACUGGGUAACUAGAGUACUUUAGGGAGGGGUAGAAUUCCACAUGUAGCGGUGAAAUGCGUAGAGAUGUGGAGGAAUACCGAAGGCGAAGGCAGCCCCUUGGGAAUGUACUGACGCUCAUGUGCGAAAGCGUGGGGAGCAAACAGGAUUAGAUACCCUGGUAGUCCACGCCGUAAACGAUGUCUACCAGUCGUUGGGUCUUUUAAAGACUUAGUGACGCAAGUUAAUGCAAUAAGUAGACCGCCUGGGGAGUACGGCCGCAAAGGUUA